rnacentral:rRNA from 1 species
AUUGAACGCUGGCGGCAGGCCUAACACAUGCAAGUCGAGCGAGCGGCGGACGGGUUACUUAUGUAUGUGGCUCUGCCCGAUAGAGGGGUAUACCUACUGGAAACGGUUGCUAAUACCGCAUACUAUCGGCUGACCCCAUCUGGGAUUAGCUCGUAGUUGGGGUAAAGGCUCACCUAGGCGACGAUCUAUAGCUGGUCUGAGAGGAUGAUCAGCCACAAUGGGACGCAGACACGGCCCAGACUCCUACGGGAGGCAGCAGUGGGGAAUAUUGCACAAUGGGCGUAAGCAUGAUGCAGCCAUGCCGCGUGUAUGAAGAAGGCCUUAGGGGUGUAAAGUACUUUCAGCGGGGAGGCGUUACCAGAAGAAGAAGCAACGGCUAACUCCGUGCCAGCAGCCGCGGUAAUAC